AUUGAACGCUGGCGGCAGGCCUAACACAUGCAAGUCGAGCGGAUGACGGGAGCUUGCUCCUUGAUUCAGCGGCGGACGGGUGAGUAAUGCCUAGGAAUCUGCCUGGGAGGGGGGGACAACGUUUCGAAAGGAACGCUAAUACCGCAUACGUCCUACGGGAGAAAGCAGGGGACCUGCGGGCCUUGCGCUAUCAGAUGAGCCUAGGUCGGAGUAGCUAGGUGGGGGGGUAAUGGCUCACCAAGGUGACGGGCCGUAACUGGUCUGAGAGGACGAUCCGUCACACUGGAACUGAGACACGGUCCAGACUCCUACGGGAGGCAGCAGUGGGGAAUAUUGGACAAUGGGCGAAAGGCUGAUUCAGCCAUGGCGCGUGUGUGAAGCAGGUCUUCGGAUUGUAAAGCACUUUAAGUUGGGAGGAAGAGCAGUAAGCUAAUACCUUGCUGUUUUGACGUUACCGACAGAAUAAGCACCGGCUAACUCUGUGCCAGCAGCCGCAGUAA
rnacentral:rRNA from 1 species